rnacentral:rRNA from 1 species
AUGGCGAUCGCGAUGCCGCCGCUGGCGAGGGCAUCACAACGUAUCCGAUAUUCCAAGAAAAGAAAGGCACCGCCGCCGCCGCCGCCGGAAAGGGACUGGGCGGAGCUGCACCCGGACCUCAUCUCCUGCAUACUCCACCGGCUAGACCAAGCCGAGCUCCUGGUCGGCGGCGUGGCGGGCGUGUGCCGCUCCUGGCGCCACGCCGCCCGGGAUGAGCCGGAGCUGUGGCGCCGGAUCGACCUGCGCGGCGGCCUCUGGUACGUCCCGCCGUUCCGCCCCAAGUUCAGCAUGGAGACCAUGGUGCGCAAGGCCCUGCGUCUCGGCGCGGGGCAGACAGAGGCCUUCCUGAGCGAGGGCGUCAGCAACCGCACGCUCCUCCUUCUUGCCGAGAGCGCACCCUCGCUGAAGAGCCUUCAUCUCAUCACAUGCUCGGUCUCUAAACAAGCAUUUGCAAAGGCGAUCAAGAUGUUACCUCUGCUUGAGGAGCUUGAGAUUUCACUACCGUCAUAUUUUGAUACACAAGAGAUGGUUGAACUAGUCGCCGGAGCAUGCCUACAGCUGAAGCACUUCAGACUUGUCAUGCAUGACUAUGAAGACAGGCGUACUAGUGCCGGGGUAGCAUCUAUGGUUGCAAGGAUGCACAAGCUACGCUCCUUGCAUCUUGUCCGCCUUAAGCUCGACAAUGAAGAGCUAGCAACCAUCCUUGAUAAGUGCCACGACCUAGAGUACCUUCACAUGCGAGAGUGCAGCCUUAUUGACAUGGAUGCCAUGGACGACAACCUACAAGUGAAGCUUGCCCAGAUCAAUAUGGAUAACCAUGAGUACUCCAGUGACCGAAUCGUUGACUAUGAGUACAUGAUUCGUUGUAUUUAUUAUGACCUCGAUGGCGGAGGUGAUUGGCUUUCCUACGAUUACAACGACGAUUCCUAUGUUGAAUAUUGCUACUACAUUGGUAGUGGUGAUGGUAUUGACGAUGCCGAUCUUGAAGAGUAUGAGAAGAUCCUCGACAUCAAGAGCAUGCGUAGGCACCUACGCUAA